UGGUGUGAGUGCGGUGAGAUGGCUUUGAUCUGGCUCUCAGCCACUUCUGACACUCCUGGUACCUGCAGUCACCACGCUGCACCCAGGCUUCUGUGUGUGUUCCUCCGACAGCUGCAAGUUUGGACCCUUUGACUGAUGCCUUUUCUUUUCCCCUGGGAAUCACCAUUUGGCUCUUAGUGACUAUGAGUCUCUACUUCUUUUUUUUAAGAGUCCAUGUAUAAGGAAGAGCAUGGAGGGAACUACAUAAUACGCAUAGGUAUUUUCCACACCUGAUAGUGCAUAUGAAUUCAUUUGUAAACACAAAGAAUGGUCGUAGAACUUUAAAACAGGAUGGACAAUGCUGUUUGCAACAUUUUUAUUUAGUGAGUAUUUGGAAAUGGGAUAAAUGUUCAAACAGUGAUGUCUUCUUACCAAGGACUGCUUAGGGCAUUUGAAAGAGUUUUAUUUUCUUUUUUUUUUUAAACUUUUUUU
rnacentral:lncRNA from 1 species